rnacentral:rRNA from 1 species
AGUGAACGCUGGCGGUAGGCCUAACACAUGCAAGUCGAACGGCAGCACAGUAAUAGCUUUCUCUUACGGGUGGCGAGUGGCGGACUGGUUCGGUAUACAUCGGAGUCUACUUUUUCUUGGGGGCUCACGUAGGGUAACUUACUCUAAUACCCCAUCCUUUCUCCGGGUUUAAACAUGAGAUCUUCGGACCUUGCGUGAUUGUCUUAGCUGAUGUCGGUUUAGCUAGUUGGCGGGGUAAUGGCCCACCAAGGCGACGAUCCGCAGCUGGUCUGAGAGGAGGAUCAGCCACACUGGAACUGAGACACGGUCCAGACACCUACGGGAGGCAGCAGUGGGGAAUAUUGGACAAUGGGGGAAAGCCUGAUCCAGCAAUACCGCGUGGGUGAAGAAGGCCUUCGGGUUGUAAAGCCCUUUUGUUGGGAAAGAAAAGCAGCAGGUUAAUACCCCGCUGUUCUGACGGUACCCAAAGAAUAAGCACCGGCUAACUUCGUG